AGGUUGACCUCGGAUCAGGUAGGAAUACCCGCUGAACUUAAGCAUAUCAAUAAGCGGAGGAAAAGAAACCAACAGGGAUUGCCCUAGUAACGGCGAGUGAAGCGGCAACAGCUCAAAUUUGAAAUCUGGCCCUCGGGUCCGAGUUGUAAUUUGCAGAGGAUGCUUUUGGCGCGGUGCCUUCCGAGUUCCCUGGAACGGGACGCCUUAGAGGGUGAGAGCCCCGUACGGUUGGACACCAAGCCUCUGUAAAGCUCCUUCGACGAGUCGAGUAGUUUGGGAAUGCUGCUCUAAAUGGGAGGUAAAUUUCUUCUAAAGCUAAAUAUUGGCCAGAGACCGAUAGCGCACAAGUAGAGUGAUCGAAAGAUGAAAAGCACUUUGAAAAGAGGGUUAAAUAGCACGUGAAAUUGUUGAAAGGGAAGCGUUUGCGACCAGACCUUUUCCUAGCGGAUCAUCCGGUGUUCCUCACCGGUGCACUUCGCUUGGUUGAGGCCAGCAUCGGUUUCUGUAGGGGGACAAAAGCUUUGGGAACGUAGCUCCCUCGGGAGUGUUAUAGCCCUCUGCACAAUACCCUUACGGGGACCGAGGACCGCGCUUUAUGCAAGGAUGCUGGCGUAAUGGUCGUCAACGACCCGUCU
rnacentral:rRNA from 1 species